GUGGGACAGUGGCACAACGGGUAACGCACCUGACUGCGAAUCAGGAGAUCCCAGAUUCGAAUCCUGGCUUUCACU